rnacentral:rRNA from 1 species
AAACUGGGGAUAUACCGGAUAGGGAAUCGGCACUGGAACGUCCUUUUCCCUAAAGGCUUGCCGCUUCAGGAUGGGCUGCGGUGGAUUAGGCUGUUGGUGAGGUAAAGGCUCACCAAACCUGUAAUCCAUACGGGCGAUGUGAGUCGGAGCCCGGAGAGGGGGACUGAGACAAGGCCCCCAGCCCUACGGGGUGCAGCAGGCGCGAAACCUUUGCAAUGCGCGGAAGCGUGACAAGGGAACUCCAAGUGAUUCAACGCAAGUUGGAUCUUUUCGCGACUUUAGACAGGUCGCGGAAUAAGGACUGGGCAAGACCCGUGCCAGCCGCCGCGGUAAUACGGGCAGUCCUAGUGAUAUCCGCGUAUACUGGGCUUAGAGCGUCCGUAGCCGGCCCGGCCAGUUUCCGGUGAAAUCCCGUCGCUUAACGGCGGGAAGUGCUGGAAAUACUACAGGGCUUGGAGGCGGGAGAGGGCGGAGGUACGUCAGGGGUAGCGGUUAAAUGUUAUAACCCUUGGCGGACCACCGGUAGCGAAGGCGUCCGCCUAGAACGCGCUCGACGGUGAGGGACGAAGGCCAGGGGAGCAACCCGGAUUAGAUACCCGGUUAGUCCUGGCAGUAAAUGAUGCGGACUUUGUGUCACGCAAGCUCUGAGCUUGCGUGGUGCCGGAGAGAAA